GAUGAACGCUGGCGGCGUGCCUAAUACAUGCAAGUCGAGCGAACGGACGAGAAGCUUGCUUUUCUGAUGUUAGCGGCGGACGGGUGAGUAACACGUGGAUAACCUACCUAUAAGACUGGGAUAACUUCGGGAAACCGGAGCUAAUACCGGAUAAUAUUUUGAACCGAAUGGUUCAAAAGUGAAAGACGGUCUUGCUGUCACUUAUAGAUGGAUCCGCGCUGCAUUAGCUAGUUGGUAAGGUAACGGCUUACCAAGGCAACGAUGCAUAGCCGACCUGAGAGGGUGAUCGGCCACACUGGAACUGAGACACGGUCCAGACUCCUACGGGAGGCAGCAGUAGGGAAUCUUCCGCAAUGGGCGAAAGCCUGACGGAGCAACGCCGCGUGAGUGAUGAAGGUCUUCGGAUCGUAAAACUCUGUUAUUAGGGAAGAACAUAUGUGUAAGUAACUGUGCACAUCUUGACGGCACCUAAUCAGAAAGCCACGGCUAACUACGUG
rnacentral:rRNA from 1 species